GCACAUGUAGAUUAUGUAAAUUUCUAGGCUGUUAACUUGGAGAAGGUUCUUGCGGGCCUGUGUGCG
rnacentral:tRNA from 1 species